rnacentral:lncRNA from 1 species
UUGCCAACUUUCCAUGAGCCUCUCCCUGCAUGAGAAGAGACUGGGAUGUUGUAGGAGGCACCCUAUGUCCUCUGGAAAGAGUUGCUACGGGCAUGGGGAUUUUUGUUUGUUGGCUAUUUGAGCACGGAGGUGGAACAAGAAAGGCAGGAGGAGAAGUAAAGGCAGGAAAGGGUGGCACAUACAUCAGCAAAACAAAAGAUUUCCAGAAACCAAAACAGAUUUCAGCUUACUUCACUGUCUAGGACUCCAUCACAUGAACUCCUCUGUUCUAUGACCGUCCUAUUACAUGAGGCACAGCCACUGGGAAUAAGGUUGAAAUGGAAAGAAAAUCUAUUGACAAAACCUCAUCCUUUCCAGCUCCUUCCUAUCCC